rnacentral:rRNA from 1 species
UGCAGUCGAACGGUGACGGCGGGAGCUUGCUCCUGCCUGAUCAGUGGCGAACGGGUGAGUAACACGUGGGCAACCUGCCCCAAACUUUGGGAUAACUCUCCGAAAGGAGAGCUAAUACCGGAUACGACCUCGGAUGGCAUCAUCUGAGGUGGAAAGCUCCGGCGGUUUGGGAUGGGCCCGCGGCCUAUCAGCUAGUUGGAGGGGUAAUGGCCCACCAAGGCGACGACGGGUAGCCGGCCUGAGAGGGCGACCGGCCACACUGGGACUGAGACACGGCCCAGACUCCUACGGGAGGCAGCAGUGGGGAAUAUUGGUCAAUGGGCGAAAGCCUGAACCAGCAACGCCGCGUGAGGGAUGACGGCCUUCGGGUUGUAAACCUCUUUCAGCAGGGACGAAGCGAAAGUGACGGUACCUGCAGAAGAAGCACCGGCUAACUACGUGCCAGCAGCCGCGGUAAUACGUAGGGUGCAAGCGUUGUCCGGAUUUAUUGGGCGUAAAGAGCUCGUAGGCGGUUUGCCGCGUCGGAUGUGAAAACUCGGGGCUUAACCCCGAGCCUGCAUUCGAUACGGGCAGACUUGAGUGUGGCAGGGGAGACUGGAAUUC